GGCUCGGUAGCUCAGUCGGUAGUGCAUAGGACUGAAAAUCCUAGAUUCUGUCCUGAUCGAUUAUUCAAAGGCCUAACCU
rnacentral:tRNA from 2 species